GCUUUGCUGAUAAAUCUGGUUGAUAACCUGCCACAACAAAUCAAUAGGUAUGGAUCCCUGUAGUGGGAUUAUGGAAGAAAAAAACAAAAGGCCGAUGCAACUAGCGGGACUAAAGAAGUUACUGGCAGAUGGUU